UAUACAACCUCCAAUGAGUUCCCUGAUGAUACCCUGAACUUCAUCAAGACGCACCCGCUCAUGGAUGAGGCAGUGCCCUCCAUCUUCAACAGGCCAUGGUUCCUGAGAACAAUGGUCAGAUACCGCCUUACCAAAAUUGCAGUGGACACAGCUGCUGGGCCAUAUCAGAAUCACACUGUGGUUUUUCUGGGAUCAGAGAAGGGAAUCAUCUUGAAGUUUUUGGCCAGAAUAGGAAAUAGUGGUUUCCUAAAUGACAGCCUUUUCCUGGAGGAGAUGAGUGUUUACAACUCUGAAAAGUAAGUGGAAUAUUUGGUUCUUUCUUAGUAAUUAUUUGUUAUGCUAUUAUGGCCCCUUUCAUUCAGAGAAAAUCAUGACCGACUUAGGUUUUAUGCAUUUUUAGAUGACUUUUUAGUGCUGUUUGUAAAAAUUUAACACCUAAAAAGCAUUAUUUUCUCCUUGCCAAUGUGUGUGUGUGUGUUUAUAUACAUAUAUGUGUGUGUGUUUAUAUAGAUACAUAUAUAUGUGUGUGUUUACGUGUGUGCAUGAGCAUAAGGGUUUGUUUGUUUCA
rnacentral:sRNA from 1 species